rnacentral:rRNA from 1 species
CCUACGGGUGGCAGCAGUGGGGAAUAUUGCGCAAUGGGCGAAAGCCUGACGCAGCGACGCCGCGUGAGGGAUGAAGGUCUUCGGAUCGUAAACCUCUGUUAGCAGGGAAGAACGGUCACUGUGCUAAUCAGCAGUGAAUUGACGGUCCUGCAAAGGAACCACCAGCUAACUCCGUGCCAGCAGCCGCGGUAAUACGGAGGGUGCGAGCGUUAAUCGGAAUUACUGGGCGUAAAGCGCUCGUAGGCUGUAUGUCAAGUCAUGGGUGAAAUCCCCGCGCUCAACGUGGGAACUGCCUUUGAAACUGGCAAACUAGAGUGUGGGAGAGGAUAGUGGAAUUCGAGGUGUAGGAGUGAAAUGCGUAGAUAUCUGGAGGAACAUCAGUGGCGAAGGCGACUAUCUGGCACAUAACUGACGCUGAGGAGCGAAAGCGUGGGUAGCGAACAGGAUUAGAUACCCCAGUAGUC